rnacentral:rRNA from 1 species
CAGUCGCCGCGGUAAUACGUAGGGUGCGAGCGUUAAUCGGAAUUACUGGGCGUAAAGCGUGCGCAGGCGGUUGUGUAAGACAGGUGUGAAAUCCCCGGGCUUAACCUGGGAACUGCGCUUGUGACUGCACAGCUAGAGUAUGGCAGAGGGGGGUGGAAUUCCACGUGUAGCAGUGAAAUGCGUAGAGAUGUGGAGGAACACCGAUGGCGAAGGCAGCCCCCUGGGCCAAUACUGACGCUCAGGUGCGAAAGCGUGGGGAGCAAACAGGAUUAGAUACCCGCGUAGUCCCUGUCUCUUAUAC